rnacentral:tRNA from 1 species
GCCCCUGUAGCUCAGUUGGACAGAGCGGCUGCCUUCUAAGCAGCGGGUCGCAGGUUCGAGUCCUGCCGGGGGCG